UUUUGAACACUGGCCAUCUGCUCAGCUCUGACAGAGAAAGCACAGCAUUCAUUUCUACAGAACUACUCAAAAAGCGCAAAAGUGCUUUCACUGAAGAACAACAUACUUUGAAUUUGCAACAGCAAAAAAGAAGAAUGUAAGAGGACAAAAUGACAUAGAUGAUAUAAUUCAGAAACUGGGAAAAUAAAUCACUGUUACCCAAGGAAACUGGAGGAGGAUGAAAGAAGAAAAAUAUCCUGGCCUUUUUUUUUCCUCAUAUCCAACACUAGGAAGAAGCAUUGUACAGAAAAUUUAUUCUCCUAUCUUUGGACGUU